rnacentral:sRNA from 1 species
GCUGGGAGUAGUGGUGCAUACCUGUAAUCCCAGCAACUCAGGAGGCUGAAACAGGAGGAUAGCAAGUUCAAAGCUAGCCUCAGAAAUUUAGUGAUGCCCUUGUCAACUCAGCAAGACCCUGUCUCAA